GACGAACGCUGGCGGCGUGCUUAACACAUGCAAGUCGAACGGAAAGGCCCUGCUUUUGUGGGGUGCUCGAGUGGCGAACGGGUGAGUAACACGUGAGUAACCUGCCCUUGACUUUGGGAUAACUUCAGGAAACUGGGGCUAAUAUCGGAUAGGAGCUCCUGCUGCAUGGUGGGGGUUGGAAAGUCUCGGCGGUUGGGGAUGGACUCGCGGCUUAUCAGCUUGUUGGUGGGGUAGUUGCUUACCAAGGCUUUGACGGGUCGCCGGCCUGAGAGGGUGACCGGCCACAUUGGGACUGCGGUACGGCCCAGACUGCUACGGGAGGCAGCAGUGGGGAAUAUUGCACAAUGGGCGGAAGCCUGAUGCAGAAGCGCCGGGUGCGGGAUGACGGCCUUCGGGUAGUAAACCGCUGUCGCCUGUGACGAAGCGUGAGUGACGGUAAUGGGUAAAGAAGUACCGGCUAACUACGUG
rnacentral:rRNA from 1 species